rnacentral:tRNA from 1 species
UGCAUCGGCCGGGAAUCGAACCUGGGCCGCCCACGUGGCAGACAAGCAUUCUACCACUGAACCACCGAUGC